rnacentral:rRNA from 1 species
UACAGAGGGUGCAAGCGUUGUUCGGAAUUAUUGGGCGUAAAGCGCGUGUAGGCGGCUUUGCAAGUCGGGUGUGAAAGCCCUCGGCUCAACCGAGGAAGUGCGCCCGAAACUGCAGAGCUUGAGUACCGGAGAGGAUGGCGGAAUUCCCCAAGUAGAGGUGAAAUUCGUAGAUAUGGGGAGGAACACCGGUGGCGAAGGCGGCCAUCUGGACGGAUACUGACGCUGAGACGCGAAAGCGUGGGAAGCAAACAGG